rnacentral:rRNA from 1 species
UGGGGAAUAUUGCACAAUGGGCGCAAGCCUGAUGCAGCAACGCCGCGUGGGGGAUGAAGGCUUUCGGGUUGUAAACUCCUUUCAGUACAGAAGAAGCUUUAUUGUGACGGUAUGUGCAGAAGAAGCGCCGGCUAACUACGUGCCAGCAGCCGCGGUAAUACGUAGGGCGCGAGCGUUGUCCGGAAUUAUUGGGCGUAAAGAGCUCGUAGGCGGUUUGUCGCGUCUGCUGUGAAAGACCGGGGCUUAACUCCGGGGCUGCAGUGGGUACGGGCAGGCUGGAGUGCGGUAGGGGUAACCGGAAUUCCUGGUGUAGCGGUGGAAUGCGCAGAUAUCAGGAGGAACACCGAUGGCGAAGGCAGGUUACUGGGCCGUUACUGACGCUGAGGAGCGAAAGCAUGGGGAGCGAACAGG